UACGUAGGGUGCAAGCGUUGUCCGGAAUCAUUGGGCGUAAAGCGCACGUAGGCGGUCUGUUAUGUCGGAUGUGAAAGCCCUUGGCUCAACUGAGGAAGUGCAUCCGAAACUGGCAGGCUAGAGUACUAAAGAGGAUCGCGGAAUUCCCGGUGUAGAGGUGAAAUUCGUAGAUAUCGGGAGGAACACCGGUGGCGAAGGCGGCGAUCUGGGUAGAUACUGACGCUGAGGUGCGAAAGCGUGGGGAGCAAACAGG
rnacentral:rRNA from 1 species